ACUAAAUCAAGAUUUUUAAAAUGUAAACCAUUUGAAUUAUUUUACAAUGUGAUCUGUCUUCCUUUAUUUACCUUUCAUUUUCUCUCUCUUCAAAUGGACUUCUAUUCAGAAUCAUUCUUGGGAACCAGAAAAGUUGGAACUCAUCCUUAUCUCAAGGGAAUUUGGCUGAUAACUGGAAAUCUAGAACCCUGUGUUUUAAACUUCUAGCUCACAUCACACCAAAGAUGUUUUGUUAUUUCAUAGCUUGAGAGAAAUGUGAAAUUCUAGGAAGAAAAGACUAGCACCAAAAUUGAUAGUUGGGAAAUAGAAAUGUAGGAAUGGGAGUGGAUUAGAUCAAUUCUCACCUCAUUUAAAAUGAGAAGAAACUACAUCCUAAUGCUUUUAUCAGUGAGAGUAAUUAAUAAAAUAGGUUGGAUCAAGGUCAAGAUAUCUCUGAAUCUACAGUAAGCUUUAGACUACAUUCACCAAGUCCAUGAUCAAUUUAGAAGUCCUUGAAAGCUAUUGAAUGAAAGAGUGGACUAUUAUACAGGAAAACAUAUACAUUGACUGAGGAAACCUGUUCACAUACAGUGGGACAUCUAUAAAAUAGCAAGCAGAUUUGGAACCUGGGCAUUCAAGUAUUUGGCAAUUCAGUGGUGGAAGCCAAAUCUUUAGCCAAACUUCUGAAAAAGAAUUACUUUGAAGACAGGAGAGCACUUUGGCUUCUUCCUCCUUUUGAUCAGAGGAGGACCUUGUGAGGGCCAGAAGAUUUUGGACUUCCCAUUAGAUCCCUCUUCCUAGCAUUAUGCUCAGAAACUGUGCUAGGCCCCUGAAUAUUGUGAGCACUAUAAGAAAGCUGUGUUACUGUGUUACUCCUUUGCAACAUGUUCUCUUUAAAUUGGAGCCCAAUUUCCUUUUGACUGCAUGUAUACUAGUAGGAGAAGGUGUCACAAACUUUUUGGGAGAUAUUUAUACCUCAAUAGUGCAGUGUAAUGGGAUGUAGAGUGUGUUCAGGGAAGACUACUAUCUCUAGCAUGAAGGCCGCUUUCUAUCUUUGAUGUCCACCUCUCAUCUGUGGCUUCAAAACUUAUGGACUUGAGUACUGGUCACACUCCAAUAAAUCAUUUCUUUAGAUGGAAUAAACCAGGUUAAGAGUAAUCAAAAA